rnacentral:rRNA from 1 species
AACGCCAGCUACAGGCUUAACACACGCAAGUCGAGGGGGCAGCAUCUUAGUCUCGCUUCGCAAACUGAAGACGGCGACCGGCGCACGGGCGAGUAACACGUAUCCAACCUGCCGAUAACUCCGGGAUAGCCUUUCGAAAGAAAGAUUAAUACCGGAUAGUAUACGAAUAUCGCAUGAUAUUUUUAUUAAAGAAUUUCGGUUAUCGAUGGGGAUGCGUUCCAUUAGUUUGUUGGCGGGGUAACGGCCCACCAAGACUACGAUGGAUAGGGGUUCUGAGAGGAAGGUCCCCCACAUUGGAACUGAGACACGGUCCAAACUCCUACGGGAGGCAGCAGUGAGGAAUAUUGGUCAAUGGGCGCGAGCCUGAACCAGCCAAGUAGCGUGAAGGAUGAAGGCUCUAUGGGUCGUAAACUUCUUUUAUAUGGGAAUAAAGUUUUCCACGUGUGGAAUUUUGUAUGUACCAUAUGAAUAAGGAUCGGCUAACUCCGUGCCAGCAGCCGCGGUAAUACGGAGGAUCCGAGCGUUAUCCGGAUUUAUUGGGUUUAAAGGGAGCGUAGGUGGAUUGUUAAGUCAGUUGUGAAAGUUUGCGGCUCAACCGUAAAAUUGCAGUUGAAACUGGCAGUCUUGAGUACAGUAGAGGUGGGCGGAAUUCGUGGUGUAGCGGUGAAAUGCUUAGAUAUCACGAAGAACUCCGAUUGCGAAGGCAGCUCACUAGACUGUCACUGACACUGAUGCUCGAAAGUGUGGGUAUCAAACAGGAUUAGAUACCCUGGUAGUCCACACAGUAAACGAUGAAUACUCGCUGUUUGCGAUAUACAGUAAGCGGCCAAGCGAAAGCAUUAAGUAUUCCACCUGGGGAGUACGCCGGCAACGGUGAAACUCAAAGGAAUUGACGGGGGCCCGCACAAGUGGAGGAACAUGUGGUUUAAUUCGAUGAUACGCGAGGAACCUUACCCGGGCUUAAAUUGCAACAGAAUAUAUUGGAAACAGUAUAGCCGUAAGGCUGUUGUGAAGGUGCUGCAUGGUUGUCGUCAGCUCGUGCCGUGAGGUGUCGGCUUAAGUGCCAUAGCGAGCGCAACCCUUAUCUUUAGUUACUAACAGGUUAUGCUGAGGACUCUAGAGAGACUGCCGUCGUAAGAUGUGAGGAAGGUGGGGAUGACGUCAAAUCAGCACGGCCCUUACGUCCGGGGCUACACACGUGUUACAAUGGGGGGUACAGAAGGCGGCUACCUGGUGACAGGAUGCUAAUCCCAAAAACCUCUCUCAGUUCGGAUCGAAGUCUGCAACCCGACUUCGUGAAGCUGGAUUCGCUAGUAAUCGCGCAUCAGCCAUGGCGCGGUGAAUACGUUCCCGGGCCU